UGCCGGGUCGUCUAAUGGUAGGACACAUCCCUCUGAAGGAUGGUAUUGGGGUUCGAGUCCCUGCCCGGCAG
rnacentral:tRNA from 1 species